AAAAAAAGGUCAAAUUAAACUUCUCUAGCAUUUAAUUCAUAAGUUAAACAAGUUUUAUAAGUGGAAACAAGUUAAAAAAAAAAAAAACAAUCUAUAAAACACACACACACACACACACAAACAACAACAACAACAAAAAAAACAUCAAAACUGUUAACUGUCUCAAAGAAUUAACAAAUUCAUCAAUAAAUGCUAAUUUAUUUCAGCUUUUUUCAUAAGAACAUGAAUUCCCACACUGACUAUUCAAAUGUACUAUAACACUGAAAAUGUGCAGGGUGGCUGAUGAUCGCUCCUGUUGUAUUUAGAAAUCUGAAACCUGUCGUUGCGCAAUGUGACGUUUAUAACUGUUUGCUUCUCCCCGGAUUCUGAAUGCACAAAUCAGAAUUAGAAAUUGAGAUUGAAGGAUCGGCUGACCAAUGGCAAGAACUGGAAGACUGAAAGUAUAAAUGUGGAAAAAAGGAAAAAAGAUCAAACAACACUUACCUGUUUGCGACACCCUUAUCACCUGUAUGAGAUCUCACUAUUCUAUCUUGUGGAAGAAACUACAGACAUUCCCACAAACUGUAAGAGAGGAACAGCUUUGUGACAGAAUUCCUACGGCUUUGAAGAUGCAAAUAAAAACCUUUUUUAAAGCAGCAGUUAAGCUGAUUUCCAAGAAAAAUGCCAUCACCUCUGUUCCAUUGAGCUUUAUGUUGUUGGGUUUGCAGGCGUUGCUUGAUGUCCAGUUCGCAUGCCCAUGCAAAGUUAAGUGGAAUGCACUUAUAUCAGGUUUCCUCUUCAUUGUUCCCAGUCUCUUUGCUUUUGUCAUAAUGAUCAUGCUUUUGAGGCCUUGUAAAUAUAAAUGCAGCCGUUCUCAAAGACAGAACAGCGGUGGAAGAAUGCAAGGUCAGGACAACAAUGAAGCCUCUCAAGAACAAGAUAAAAGUGGACAAUCUCAAGAACAGGACAAAAGUGCAAUAUAUCAGUCUGAAGAAACGAUGCAGAGUUUUGAGACCGUUUUGAUGGCCUGUCUGAUUCCACCGAUUGUGUGGAUCUGUAUAUUUUUAAUUGAUGGUGAUUAUCUUGCAUGUGGACUCACAGACUGGAAUGGACAGUAUGCCUGUGAUAAGGACCUGCAUCCGAUUUGUGUGAACUGGUGCAAACCUACUGAAUUAAACCAAGGAGGAAAUGAGACCGAUCUAUAUGAACGAACACGAGAGCUGAUUGAUCAAUCAAAGUGUAUAGGUUAUAGCCUGGCAUUUGUCUUCUGCAUUAUAGCCAUUAUUAUUGUGACUGCUAACGACUGCAACAGAGGUCGCAAUUCAGCCUGCUGCAGAAAUGCAGCUCCAGAAAAUGAAGGUGAGGUACGGCGUGAUCUGUUGGCAGACUUACACAAGAAACAAAGUGUGCAACAUGAGAUGGGCAAGCUUCAAGAUGACGGUUCCCGACACAGACAUCCAAGUCAACUUGAAGAAAUAGAAGAAAAAGUUUAA
ensembl:lncRNA